GUGUGUGCCCCAUACAGAGGAUGUGUUGGUGUGUACCCCAUACAGAGGAUGUGUUGGUGUGUGCCCCAUACAGAGGAUUUGUUGGUGUGUACCCCAUAGAGGAUGUGUUGGUGUGUACCCCAUACAGAGGAUGUGUUGGUGUGUACCCCAUAGAGGAUGUGUUGGUGUAUGCGCGCAUUGUGUGAACAGGCAAAUGCAGCUUCCCUGUGUAUGCAGGCGCAUGUGUGAGGGGGUGUCAGCUAUCUACUUAUUCUGAAAAUGGGUCAGAGGGGCAAAAGUCAGACAUGAGUGGGGGUGGGAGGGUCACACUGAUGAAACAUGAUGACUUGGGGGGUUGGGAACUGCUGCCAGCGUUCCCUCCCUCUGGGGCUCAGCAGCACAAUCUGUACUGGGAUCAGACGGCGUGGAGGGGGCACCGGCUUGAGGGAAAUCCGCAGGGACUGUGUUAGCUACACACUAGCUAACAGGGUAAGCUCCUUCGAGAGGAAUAGAGGGCUCUUGUAUGUCUCCGUCAAAGAAAAAGCCAUUGUAUAGAUGGGCAAUGGCCUCUCUACCAUCUCUACGCUGCUAAUAGUGAAGAGGCAGGAGAUGCAGGAGAGACUGAGAUUCCCUUUGAAGAAGAGGGGGAGGAAGGAGAGGUGAAGGAGAAAGAGACUGAAAAAGGUAUAACUUGUUUAUUGUAGCCUCAGUAGUAUGUGUAGUAGUUGUAGUAUGUGGGUACUGUAGUUCUGUGGUACUUUGCGUUGUGUAGAGAGACAUGCAUAUCGGACUGUAAAAGACUACAUUGCUCAAUGUUCACAGUCACCUCCAAACCCGCUGAAGCAGAGGACAAUGCGAAAAGCAAUACUCCAUCUAAGACAGAACUAGAGAAAGAGGGGGAGGAGGAGAAAGAGGGGGUGGAGGAGAAAGAGGGGGUAGAGGAGAAACAGGGAGUGGAGGAAAAAAAGAUUGGAAAAAGGUACAGGCCUAAUCGUUGUGCAUUGAAUUUAGAGUGUAAUGGAACAUUCACAUGUAGAAGACUACUUGUUGCCAAGUUGUUAUGAACAGACAGAGUAAUACACAGUACUCACUAACUUUCAGGUAAAGAAAAGAAAAUUGACGAUAGACGAGGUCUGUCAAGAGCCUGUUAUUGUCAUGGUUCAUAUUAGCGUCCCAUUAGUUAAUUGAGCCGUGACUAUGAUGAAGUAGCCAUAUGAUGUGCAGUACAAAGAAACUGUCUCCUUGGUCCCACCCUGAUGGUAAAACUUUUUUUUUUUCUGAGAGUGCUCAUGUCUCACUGGUACUCGCACACAGCCGCCCCAAAACCUGAAGCAGAGGACUCUGGGAAAAGCGAGAAGCCCUCUAGGAAAGUGGACGUGAUGGAGGAAAAGAACGAGAAGACAACAGAGAAGGAGAGAUAUAAAGUUCCUCCCCAACCUGAGGAAGGGGG